GACGAACGCUGGCGGCGCGCCUAACACAUGCAAGUCGAACGAGCGAGAGAGAGCUUGCUUUCUCGAGCGAGUGGCGAACGGGUGAGUAACGCGUGAGGAACCUGCCUCAAAGAGGGGGACAACAGUUGGAAACGACUGCUAAUACCGCAUAAGCCCACGACCCGGCAUCGGGUAGAGGGAAAAGGAGCAAUCCGCUUUGAGAUGGCCUCGCGUCCGAUUAGCUAGUUGGUGAGGCAACGGCCCACCAAGGCGACGAUCGGUAGCCGGACUGAGAGGUUGAACGGCCACAUUGGGACUGAGACACGGCCCAGACUCCUACGGGAGGCAGCAGUGGGGAAUAUUGCACAAUGGGGGAAACCCUGAUGCAGCGACGCCGCGUGGAGGAAGAAGGUCUUCGGAUUGUAAACUCCUGUUGUUGAGGAAGAUAAUGACGGUACUCAACAAGGAAGUGACGGCUAACUACGUG
rnacentral:rRNA from 1 species